rnacentral:rRNA from 1 species
ACCGUGGCUCAGUUCAGAUCGUAGGCUGCAACUCGCCUACGUGAAGGAGGAAUCGCUAGUAAUCGCAGGUCAGCAUACUGCGGUGAAUACGUUCCCGGGCCUUGUACACACCGCCCGUCACACCAUGGAAGUUGGCCACGCCCGAAGCCGUUACUCCAACCCUUGUGGAGGAGGACGUCGAAGGUGGGGCUGAUGACUGGGGUGAAGUCGUAACAAGGUAGCCGUACCGGAAGGUGCGGCUGGAUCACCUCCUAA